CCGGAACGUUGAAAACACUCUUGUACUAACCUAUUACCCACACCAUGUCUUAAAAUGAGAAGAAAUAUUCCAAGCAUUUAUGUUACAUCACUAUUCCUAGUUCCUUGAAUAUCAUAGCCUGUUACUAAAUCAUACAUUAAACUAUUAAAUACAAUCCUAUCCAUUCUAAAUAUUUGAUAGCACCUUAUC